CCUACGGGUGGCUGCAGUGAGGAAUAUUGGUCAAUGGACGAGAGUCUGAACCUGCCAAGUAGCGUGAAGGAUGACUGCCCUCUGGGUUGUAAACUUCUUUUAUAUGGGAAUAAAAUGUUCCACGUGUGGGAUUUUGUAUGUACCAUAUGAAUAAGGAUCGGCUAACUCCGUGCCAGCAGCCGCGGUAAUACGGAGGAUCCGAGCGUUAUCCGGAUUUAUUGGGUGUAAAGGGAGCGUAGGUGGAUUGUUAAGUCAGUUGUGAAAGUUUGCGGCUCAACCGUAAAAUUGCAGUUGAAACUGGCAGUCUUGAGUACAGUAGAGGUUGGCGGAAUUCGUGGUGUAGCGGUGAAAUGCUUAGAUAUCACGAAGAACUCCGAUGGCGAAGGCAGUUCACUGGACUGCAACUGACACUGAGGCUCGAAAGUGUGGGUAUCAAACAGGAUUAGAUACCCCUGUAGUC
rnacentral:rRNA from 1 species